rnacentral:lncRNA from 1 species
CGCGAUAUAAGUGAAGAUUCCUCAAAAUCCAAGCCAGAAAUGUGAUGAUCCUUUCAAGGAAGAGAUUGAAGAAUAGGAUACCACCUGGAGAUUUUUAUGUAUAAUCGAUAAAUUCAAGCUUAUAUCGAGGUUAUUUCAUAUACCCGUACAAAUAGGACGUUGCAUACCGUUUUCUAGUUUCUGAUAUUACAAUAACUAUGCCUAUUAUAAUUUAGACGUCGAAGACUCAUUCUUUUGUUCCAUGUAAAUAGGUCACUGUUCUACUUUGUUUUAACUCACAUCAGUGCAGUGUAAUAUAUGCAUGCAAACAGCAAAUAUAACGGCACAUUGAAUGGUGUCUUUUAUUACCAGAACAACCGAAGAAUCCAUAAAGAACAACAGCUGCUCGUCCUGCCAUAGUUUGUGGAGCAG